rnacentral:sRNA from 1 species
CUAGUAGCGCAAGGGACCGCUGCCGAGCCUGGGCCGGGCGGCCGGAGCUGACGCCCGCAGCUGUUCUACACGCGAGAAUGGGGAGGCCGGUGGCUGGGGUGCGCGUUCCUGGCCUCGAUUCGCACCAGCUCGCUGGCCGGCGGUCCCAGCGCGGGACCCGACGCCUCACCGCCAGCUCCCUGGUCGGCGUCGGGACUCAUUUCUGACGACAUAGUAUUUUCUAGGAAUGAUGUCCGCUUCCGUCCGUCAAAUGCAGCCACAUUCGGGGUGGGAAGUGGCGAAUCUGUAGUUAGUAUAAGCAGGGCUGCUGAGCUUCGUGCUUAUCUGAAAUCUAAAGGAGCUGAGAUUUCAGAAGAGAACUCGGAAGGUGGACUUCAUAUUGAUUUAGCUCAAAUUAUUGAAGCCUGUGAUGUGUGUCUGAAGGAGGAUGAUAAAGAUGUUGAAAGCGUGAUGAACAGUGUGGUAUCCCUACUCUUGAUCCUGGAACCAGACAAGCAAGAAGCUUUGAUUGAAAGUCUAUGUGA